rnacentral:rRNA from 1 species
GAUGAACGCUGGCGGUGUGCCUAAUACAUGCAAGUCGAACGAAGUCUUCGGACUUAGUGGCGAACGGGUGAGUAACACGUUGGUACCUACCCUCUAGUGGGGAAUAACUGCCCGAAAGGGUGGCUAAUACCGCAUAAUACCGCAAGGUUAAAGCAGUAAUGCGCUAGAGGAGGGGCCUGCGUCUGAUUAGCUAGUUGGUGAGGUAAUAGCUCACCAAGGCUACGAUCAGUAGCNGGAUCGAGAGGUUGACCAGCCACACUGGGACUGAGAUACGGCCCAGACUCCUACGGGAGGCAGCAGUAAGGAAUCUUCCACAAUGGACGAAAGUCUGAUGGAGCAACACCGCGUGCAGGAUGACGGUCUUCGAUUGUAAACUGUCUUUUAUAUAGGAAGAUUAUGACGGUACUAUAUGAAUAAGGACCGGCUAACUA